AUCCUUUUGUAGUUCGUAAGUGUGAUGACUGAGUUUUCGUGCUCAUGUGUGAGAUAUGUCCCUCUCGAACCUUGUUACAUCACGUUACCCACAUUACCUGUCUUACG